rnacentral:rRNA from 1 species
CUAUACAUGCAGUCGAGCGAACAGAUGAAGUGCUUGCACUUCUGACGUUAGCGGCGAACGGGUGAGUAACACGUAAGGAAUCUACCUAUAAGCGGGGGAUAACAUUCGGAAACGGGUGCUAAUACCGCAUAAUAUCUUCUUCCGCAUGGAAGAAGAUUGAAAGACGGCUCUGCUGUCACUUAUAGAUGACCUUGCGGUGCAUUAGUUAGUUGGUGGGGUAAUGGCCUACCAAGANGAUGAUGCNUAGCCGACCUGAGAGGGUGAUCGGCCACAUUGGGACUGAUGACACGGCCCAAACUCCUACGGGAGGCAGCAGUAGGGAAUCUUCGCGCAAUGGGCGAAAGCCUGACGGAGCAAUGCCGCGUGAGUGAAGAAGGCCUUCGGGUCGUAAAACUCUGUUAUAAGAGAAGAACAAAUUGUAGAGUAACGUGCUACAUGUCUUGACGGUAUCUUAUCAGAAAGCCACGGCGUAACUACGUGCCAGCAACCGCGGUAAUACGUACGUGGCAAGCGUUGUCCGGAUUUAUUGGGCGUAAAGGGAGCGCAGGUGGUUUCUUAAGUCUGAUGUGAAAGCCCAGCGGCUUAACCGUGGAGGGUCAUUGGAAACUGGGAAACUUGAGUACAGAAGAGGAAUGUGGAACUCCAUGUGUAGCGGUGGAAUGCGUAGAUAUAUGGAAGAACAGCCAGUGGCGAAGGCGACAUUCUGGUCUGUUACUGACACUGAGGCUCGAAAGCGUGGGGAGGAAACAGGAUUAGAUACCCUGGUASUCCACGCCGUAAACGAUGAGUGCUAGGUGUGGGAGGGUUUCCGCCCUUCGGCGGCUCAGUUAACGCAUUAAGCACUCCCCCUGGGGAGUACGACCGCGGGGUUGAAACUCAGAGGAAUU